GAUGAACGCUGGCGGCGUGCCUAAUACAUGCAAGUAGAACGCUGAAGGAAGGAGCUUGCUCUUUCCGGAUGAGUUGCGAACGGGUGAGUAACGCGUAGGUAACCUGCCUGGUAGCGGGGGAUAACUAUUGGAAACGAUAGCUAAUACCGCAUAACAGUAGAUGUUGCAUGAUAUCUACUUAAAAGGUGCAAUUGCACCACUACCAGAUGGACCUGCGUUGUAUUAGCUAGUUGGUGAGGUAACGGCUCACCAAGGCGACGAUACAUAGCCGACCUGAGAGGGUGAACGGCCACACUGGGACUGAGACACGGCCCAGACUCCUACGGGAGGCAGCAGUAGGGAAACUUCGGCAAUUGACGGAAGUCUGACCGAGCAACGCCGCGUGAGUGAAGAAGGUUUUCGAAUCGUAAAGCUCUGUUGUAAGAGAAGAACGAGUGUGAGAGUGGAAAGUUCACACUGUGACGGUAUCUUACCAGAAAGGGACGGCUAACUACGUG
rnacentral:rRNA from 1 species